rnacentral:rRNA from 1 species
AUACGGAGGAUCCGAGCGUUAUCCGGAUUUACUGGGUGUAAAGGGAGCGUAGACGGUUUGGCAAGUCUGAUGUGAAAGCCCGGGGCUCAACCGCGGGACUGCAUUGGAAACUGUCAGACUUGAGUGCAGGAGAGGUAAGUGGAAUUCCUAGUGUAGCGGUGAAAUGCGUAGAUAUUAGGAGGAACACCGGUGGCGAAGGAGGCUUGCUGGCCUGUAACUGCCGUUGAGGCUCUAAAGCGUGGGGAGCAAACAGGGUUAGAUACCCUGGUAGUACACGCCGUAAACGAUGUAUGCUGGGUGUGAGACUAGCGAUAGUUUCGUGCCGAAGUUAACGCGAUAAGCAUACCGCCUGGGGAGUACGGUCGCAAGAUUGAAACUCAAAGGAAUUGGCGGGG